rnacentral:lncRNA from 1 species
CUAUCAUGUGGGUGGAUCUGUAAAUCACAUACAAUGGAAGUAAAAGGAUGAUUCAGUGUGAAGGUGCCAAGUGGAAUGCAGAUCUAUGUGCUGCAUGGAACAGGAGCUGCCUAAGCUGCACCAAGCUCAGCCAUGUGCCAGAAUCAAGGCCUGAGCAGGCUCUCUGAGCUUUAUUGUCAACUUUAAAUGAUAAGAUAACAGCAGCUUCCUAGAAGAUUGCUUUAAGAAUUGCAGAUUAAUCAUCCAUGAGUGAUGAAAGACAGAUACCAACAAAUGAAAUUAGACUCUCUCUGACUAUCCUCAGAUCAGAAACUCUUGAGAAUGAAGAAUAGUUCUUCUGGUGUGAGGAUCCACUGGGUUGCCACUGACCCAUUGCCUGAGGGUAUGCGAUGAAACCAGAAUCAGCAACUGUAGAUGGCAGCUCAGAAGGGGAAACGACACAUCUAAUAACCAACAGGAAUGGCUAUUAAUUAGCUGAAAUGACAAUAAUUAACAGAAAUGACAAGUCUAAUAAAUUUUCACUUAAGUGUUGUCACAUGGCACUUUGAGUUUUAGCUUUCCAUUUUAAAUAUUAAUCUCGGUGGGGUUUACUUUAGAUGAAGAGUCAUAUCAAGUAUGACUAUGGAAAUAAUUCUGUACAGACACUCCAUCAAAUUAUGUUUAAUCCAUUUCACUUAUGCUAUGAUCAGUAGAGAGUGUAUUAAAAGCUCACAUUGUCACCCUAAAAAUAUAUUCUUUUUGUGUGUAUCUAAUUUAUGCUGCUCAGAAACAUUCAGCCACAGGGAUCAGAGGGAAGGUGGUUGUUUUUAAUUUUCUUUGAUAUCUUCAAAGAUAGGAAAGUCUCACCCCUCUGCUCUUUCCCCCUCUUCAGCAACAGACAAAGAAGGUUAAAUCUUAUUAGCAUGUCCUAUAUAGCUAGUUGUAACCUAAGUGACCUGUCAUGGCACUAAAUGCCUACUAGAACUUUCUCUGUACUUGCAAGAUGGAAAUUUUAUGCAUCAAUGCUUUUAUGUAUGCAUCUGAUUUGGGAAGUUCACUGCUUUAUGGAUAUGAACAUUGUGAUCAAGUAAAUUGAUCUACAUAAUGGGAUUUUGUGUGUGUGCGUGCAUAUAUCUAUAUGGAUAUGGAUGUAUGCAAGUGUAUUCUAAGAGGAAAUAUAAUACAUGAAAUGUUAACUUUAAUGAUAUGAAAUGCAUUAAAUUCAAACUAUCUUGCAUGUGUAUGCAGAUGCAUUAUGUCUCUAUCAUUGUACUCUGCAGGGAUUUAAGGUAGAAAAAAUUCAUCGUAUUCUCUGAUGUGCCAUGCUAAAUAAGA